rnacentral:rRNA from 1 species
ACUGCUCAGUAACACGUCGAUAAUCUGCCCUCAAGUCAAGGAUAGCCACGGGAAACUGUGGGUAAACCUAGAUACACUAAAGCACCUGGAAUGCGCUUUAGUAUAAACUCGUGCUUGAGGAUGAGACGGCGGUCGAUUAGGUAGUUGGUGGAGUAACGGCCCACCAAGCCAAUGAUCGGUACGGGCCUUGAAAGAGGUAGCCCGGAGAGGGACACUGAGAUACUGGUCCCAGCCCUACGGGGUGCAGCAGGCGCGAAACCUUUACAAUGCACGAAAGUGUGAUAAGGGGAUCCUACGUGCUCAUGCAAAGCAUGGGCUUUUGCCAAGUGUAAAUAACUUGGAGAAUAAGUGGUGGGUAAGACUGGUGCCAGCCGCCGCGGUAACACCAGCGCCACAAGUGGCAAUCAGCAUUAUUGGGCCUAAAGCGUCCGUAGCCGGACGUGCACAUCCUUUGUGAAAUUGCCGGGCUUAACCCGGUAGCGCGCAGAGGACACGACACGUCUAGGGAAUGGGAGAGGUUAGAGGUAUUUGUAGGGGACCGGUAAAAUGGUAUAAUCCUACGAGGACCGCCGAUAGCGAAAGCAUCUAACUAGAACAUGUCCGACGGUGAGGGACGAAAGCCAGGGGAGCGAACCGGAUUAGAUACCCGAGUAGUCCUGGCCGUAAACGCUGCGAGCUAGGUGUUGCGCUUUCUCUAAGAAAGUGCAGUAUCGAAGCGAAGGCAAUAAGCUCGCCGCCUGGGGAGUACGGUCGCAAGGCUGAAACUUAAAGGAAUUGGCGGGGGAGCAC